AUUGAACGCUGGCGGCAUGCCUUACACAUGCAAGUCGAACGGCAGCGCGCCUUCAGCUCUGGUCGCGUGGGGCGAGGGGGUGUAUUAUACAGGGGAACGUCCGCGCUCGGGGGGGAAAGCGGCGCAAGCGUUGCUAUUAUACCGCACACUCUCUGAGGGUGAAAGCGGGGCAGCAUCGGCCCUCGCGCGAUCGGAGCGCCCGAUGUCAGAUUAGGUAGUUGGUGGGGUAAGGGCCUACCAAGCCGACGAUCUGUAGCUGGUCUGAGAGGACGAUCAGCCACACUGGGACUGAGACACGGCCCAGACUCCUACGGGAGGCAGCAGUGGGGAAUUUUGGACAAUGGGCGCAAGCCUGAUCCAGCCAUGCCGCGUGCAGGACGAAGGCCUUCGGGUUGUAAACUGCUUUUGUACGGAACGAAAAGCCUCUGGCUAAUACAGGGGGGUCAUGACGGUACCGUAAGAAUAAGCACCGGCUAACUACGUG
rnacentral:rRNA from 1 species